AUUGAACGCUGGCGGCAGGCCUAACACAUGCAAGUCGAGCGGAUGAAGGGAGCUUGCUCCUGGAUUCAGCGGCGGACGGGUGAGUAAUGCCUAGGAAUCUGCCUGGUAGUGGGGGAUAACGUCCGGAAACGGGCGCUAAUACCGCAUACGUCCUGAGGGAGAAAGUGGGGGAUCUUCGGACCUCACGCUAUCAGAUGAGCCUAGGUCGGAUUAGCUAGUUGGUGGGGUAAAGGCCUACCAAGGCGACGAUCCGUAACUGGUCUGAGAGGAUGAUCAGUCACACUGGAACUGAGACACGGUCCAGACUCCGACGGGAGGCAGCAGUGGGGAAUAUUGGACAAUGGGCGAAAGCCUGAUCCAGCCAUGCCGCGUGUGUGAAGAAGGUCUUCGGAUUGUAAAGCACUUUAAGUUGGGAGGAAGGGCAGUAAGUUAAUACCUGGCUGUUUUGACGUUACCAACAGAAUAAGCACCGGCUAACUUCGU
rnacentral:rRNA from 1 species